GGCAAUUCUCAUUCCAAUACUCUGUAGGGCUGGGCAGUGGAUGGUGGAUGCUUUCUUUCCUCGGGCACACCUUGAGUCUUCCUCUGCAUAAUCUAAAGCUGGCAAUAAGGCCCGGUGUUGACUCCAACUUCCGAGGAGUGUGCAGUGGAGCCGAACGCCAGAAUGAACUGUGGUUACCCCGGCAUCUCUGAGGAGAUCUGCAAUAACAAAGGCUGCUGCUUUGACACCAAAAUCUAUGGAGUCGUCUGGUGUUUCCACCCGCAAGCUGAAGAAGAAUGCGAAUUAUAGAUAUGAAGAGUGGCUUCCAUGAGUCAUCGCUUGCACUUUCUGAUCAACCACAGCUGAAAUGCCACCAUUUUACACUGUAUGAAUAUACCGUUGUCGAAAUUCGAUCUCAGAUCAGAAC